rfam:Actinotalea fermentans ATCC 43279 = JCM 9966 = DSM 3133 contig149, whole genome shotgun sequence.
UCCGGUCCUCGGUAGUGGCUCGCGGAACGAGCGGCAGCGCCGGACGGUCCGCGGACCUCGAUCGAAGACCGCC